rnacentral:rRNA from 1 species
CAUGCAUGUCUAAGUAUAAGCAAUUAUACAGCGAAACUGCGAAUGGCUCAUUAUAUAAGUUAUCGUUUAUUUGAUAGUACCUUACUACUUGGAUAACCGUGGUAAUUCUAGAGCUAAUACAUGCUAAAAAUCCCGACUCCGGAAGGGAUGUAUUUAUUAGAUUAAAAACCAAUGCCCUCUGGGCUCCUUGGUGAUUCAUGAUAACUGUACGAAUCGCAUGGCCUUGCGCCGGCGAUGGCUCAUUCAAAUUUCUUCCCUAUCAACUUUCGAUGUUUGGGUAUUGGCCAAACAUGGUUUCAACGGGUAACGGAGGGUUAGGGCUCGACCCCGGAGAAGGAGCCUGAGAAACGGCUACUACAUCCAAGGAAGGCAGCAGGCGCGCAAAUUACCCAAUGCUGACACAGCGAGGUAGUGACAAUAAAUACUGAUACAGGGCUCUUUCGGGUCUUGUAAUUGGAAUGAGUACAAUUUAAAUCCCUUAACGAGGAACAAUUGGAGGGCAAGUCUGGUGCCAGCAGCCGCGGUAAUUCCAGCUCCAAUAGCGUAUAUUAAAGUUGUUGUGGUUAAAAAGCUCGUAGUUGAACCUUGGGCCUGGCUGGCCGGUCCGCCUCACCGCGUGUACUGGUCCGGCCGGGCCUUUCCCUCUGUGGAACCCCAUGCCCUUCACUGGGUGUGGCGGGAAACAGGACUUUUACUUUGAAAAAAUUAGAGUGCUCCAGGCAGGCCUAUGCUCGAAUACAUUAGCAUGGAAUAAUAGAAUAGGACGUGUGGUUCUAUUUUGUUGGUUUCUAGGACCGCCGUAAUGAUUAAUAGGGACAGUCGGGGGCAUCAGUAUUCAAUUGUCAGAGGUGAAAUUCUUGGAUUUAUUGAAGACUAACUACUGCGAAAGCAUUUGCCAAGGAUGUUUUCAUUAAUCAGGAACGAAAGUUAGGGGAUCGAAGACGAUCAGAUACCGUCGUAGUCUUAACCAUAAACUAUGCCGACUAGGGAUCGGACGGUGUUAUUUUUUGACCCGUUCGGCACCUUACGAGAAAUCAAAGUGCUUGGGCUCCAGGGGGAGUAUGGUCGCAAGGCUGAA